GUCUGGCUGAUGUUGAUCCAAUGCAAAUAGAUUGUUCAGUGCGAUUUGAUGGUGUGGGUGGUCUUUCUGACCACAUUUCAGCUUUAAAAGAGAUGGUCGUUUUUCCACUGCUUUACCCAGAAGUCUUUGAGAGAUUCAAAAUUCAACCUCCAAGAGGCUGUCUAUUCUAUGGUCCACCAGGGACUGGAAAGACACUGGUUGCUCGUGCGCUUGCUAAUGAAUGCAGCCAAGGUGAGAGGAGAAUAGCCUUUUUUAUGCGAAAAGGUGCCAACUGCCUGAGUAAAUGGGCGGGGGAAUCUGAACGACA